rnacentral:lncRNA from 1 species
AGCCUGGAAGGAUUUUUCAAAUUGGAGAACUCUAAUGUCUUGGAAGGAAAGGCAGGUGCUCUCAAAGUCCUGCCAUUCUUUUUUAAUUGUAUUGUGACAUUUAGACUAAGCAUACUUUAGAGUUGUUCCGACAGAAAGCUGUUUUGAUUUGACUGAUGUGGCUCACUGCCAGUUCCAGGUCAUUCAGUUGCCCUGUGGAACAUCACCUCUCUCUUCUGUUUCAAGCUUUGAGUAAUUUGAUUGCUAUCCAAAUGGCCCAUUUUGGUUAAUGUUUCUGAAGGUCUUCCACGGUUUAAUUCCUUAGCUUUAAAGUGUGGAUCACAAUGCUGGGUUUGCUUUUUCUCCUUGAGACCCUCGACUGUUGUUGCACUACAGAGACCAUAGAAUCUGUCAGCUCCAAGAUCACAGAAUCCAAUGGCAAAGUUGAUCAGUAUGGCAAUGGUUUUGUGACAAAAUGAAGGUCAGGAUGCUAAACUGCAAAGUGAUAAAGAACAUGGAUGCUUAAGAAAAUGCAACUUCGACCUGAUCAUAAUGUUAAUGGUGUGAAGAUCAAGGAGAGGAGAAAGGAAAACAAAGCUUUUCUUCCCAACUGAAUUAACUUGCUGCUCUCCUCAUCCAUCUGACUGCAGCUCUGUCUACGUCAAGCAUACUCAGUAUCCAGCCAAAUGUCUCUUUCUUCGCACUUACUAAGGCUUCCACAGAAAUCCCAUCCCUCAGGUCCUCCAAUCUCAAUGUUUCACUGCUGGACUGUUGAAGCAGCUGCUGAGUUCCCUGCACAAUUAAAUAGUAGUCAGAAGCUAUCCAGGUGGUCUAUCCAACAGCAGCAACUAAGAACAUGAAACAUUCCAAACUGCACCUCAAAACCGAGCCUGAAAGGUUUGGCACUUUUCUUCCUCUGUAGGUGAUCUUCCAUCUGUGCUAUAAUUAUCACUGUGUUCAGUGUCUUCAACAAAAAAAAAUCAGCAGCUACAGAAUGAAACUUGCACAACAGAAGGGGUGGAGUGGGAAACAGGCAUGACACCAGAAUCCACACUUAUGACUUCUCCCAUCACAUGAGGGCACUUUUUUGUUUGUGUAAUGUAUCUGGUCACUUGGCAGCAUGUCAGUAACAAUAUCUGCAAACUAUAGUUGGUUUAUUAACAUCCAUGUCACAUCAGUUCUAGCUGUGGCAAAUUUUCUUUGUGCAUGGAAUUUGCAUUGGUUCAGU